rnacentral:tRNA from 1 species
AUUUAUUUAGUUUAAACAAAACAUUAUACUUUCACUAUAAAGAUGAAAUUUUUAUUUCUAUAAAUA